GGCGUCAAAGUGCGACCAGGAGAGGAGAAGAAAGGGGGUCAAACCCUAGAUCACAAAAUCCAUCAAAUUGAAAGGGAAUUUAAGGGCUAAACGAAUGCAUGAACCAAGAAAGUCGAUCACCCAAGUGUUUCUAACAUCAAGAGCCAUGUUAUCAUGAUACAAGCACGGAAGGACAACAGAUCGAAAAGUAAACACGGGAUCUAUGCGUAAAUUCGGACGUACGAGGUUGGGCGGACAUAAUAUUAUUAUGAAGAAUAAGAGGUUUGAAGAUCGAGUCAAGUGUUGGGAUUGUACAGAAGGAAUGGUCACUUUGCUUGAUUUAUGUAUUUACUUAAGAUGUUAAUUUAAUGGAAUGUUGUAAAUUCCUUACUAGUAAAUGUUUGAUAUUUUGUAUUUGAACCUUUAUUUAAGUAAUGUG